CAGCUCUCCGAGUGGUAGGGACGAUUAUUGGGCUUAAAGCGUCCGUAGCCGGCCCGGCAAGUCUUCCGUUAAAUCCAACGAUUCAAUCGUUGGACUGCGGGAGAUACUGUUGGGCUAGGAGGCGGGAGAGGCCGACGGUAUUCUCGGGGUAGGGGUAAAAUCCUAUAAUCCCGGGAAGACCACCAGUGGCGAAGGCGGUCGGCUAGGACGCGCUCGACGGUGAGGGACGAAAGCUGGGGGAGCGAACCGGAUUAGAUACCCGGGUAGUCCCAGCUGUAAACGAUGCGGGCUAGGUGUUGGAGCGGCUACGGGCCGCUUCAGUGCCGCAGGGAAACCAUUAAGCCCGCCGCCUGGGGAGUACGGCCGCAAGGCUGAAACUUAAAGGAAUUGGCGGGGGAGCACCACAAGGGGUGAAGCUUGCGGUUUAAUUGGAGUCAACGCCGGAAAACUUACCGGGGGCGACAGCAGGAUGAAGGCCAGAUUGAAGGUCUUGCUGGACGAGCUGAGAGGAGGUGCAUGGCCGUCGCCAGUUCGUGCCGUGAGGUGUCCUGUUAAGUCAGGCAACGAUCGAGACCCACGCCCCCUGUUGCCACCGAGGAGGUUUCUCCAAGGGGCACUCUGGGGGGACUGCCGUCGAUAAGGCGGAGGAAGGAGUGGGCCACGGCAGGUCAGUAUGCCCCGAAUCCCCCGGGCCACACGCGAGCUGCAAUGGCUGGGACAGUGGGUUCCGACCUCGAAAGGGGGAGGUAAUCCCUAAACCCAGCCGUAGUUGGGAUCGAGGGCUGAAACUCGCCCUCGUGAACAUGGAAUCCCUAGUAAUCGCGCGUCAUCAUCGCGCGGUGAAUACGUCCCCGCUCCUU
rnacentral:rRNA from 1 species